rnacentral:piRNA from 1 species
UCCACAGAUCCAGGACAGCCUAUGAGAGC